ACGAAAAUAGGUAUGGUUUGCCAAAUUGUUUCGAGAAUUUUGAGUAGAACAAAGUUGUGACACACAGAAAAUCACUGCACUCUCCAAGUCCCGAACCAAGUACGUACACAGAUCACAAACACACACAAAUGAUGAAAUGCACAUUCCCGAAACCCUUUCUCUAACAAACACAAAGAUGGGAACACACUGUAAUCACUUACCCGUGAUCCAAAAUUCCAAGUGCAUCAUGUGCCAUUGGUGCUUUGGUCACAUUUUAGCUUUGCAUGGAACAAGUGCACUAAACUAAUCACCACACGUAACACACUCCUCAAACCCUAUUUUCCACGUGGCAACUCCAAGCUGCACACCCACGACACGUAUGAGAUCAAACAUAAAAACAUAUUCAAAUUCAAAAAUCCUUAUCCACCAUUCAAAUCCAAAAUUCCAAUCCUUCCGCCACACUCUUUCUCCUUUUUCUUUCUGUGUCUUUAUAUAUGGGUCUGUUUCAGAUCUCUGAUCUCAUAGACUGAGAGAGAGAGAGAGAGAGAGAGAGAGAGAGAGAGAGAUCAAUAGUAAUCAAUAGUAAGAAGCAUAUAUGGGGCUGAGGAUCGUUUACGGAGUUCUGUUCCUGUCAUUUUCAUGUGCAGCCAUCAAGCUCCUCCACCUUAUGCUCCACCCUGUAUUCUACUUCACCACCUGAGAAACUUUUUCGAAUCUGCAGCAGGUGAAAUGGGUUAGUCAGAAACGUAUACUUAGACUUCUUUUGGGAUGUAUACGCAAUAGGGUUUCGUUUAAUUCUCUUAUUGUGAGUGUUCGCUGUUGUAAAGAUAUGUAUUGUAAUGAUUGAAUGCUGGUCAUGAUGAUAUGUUAAGUGGGGUUGAAUUUGUGUGGUUGUUGAUUUGGUUUUGGUGUAUUGCCGUGGGAUUCAAUGUGCAACACUGUUUUCCAGAGUUUGUGUUCUAAUUGCUUACUGUUUUUUUACGUUUUCAUAUAUUCUUUUUCAUGUGGAUUCUGGUGCUUGAACUUUCUGAAAUGGUGGGUGUGGAUCAUGAGGCAUGAAUCUUAUGAUCGUUAGGGUAGAAUUCAUUGACGCCAGUACAUUCAAUCUUGACGGAUCGGUUUGCUCUCGACCGAUUGCUGACCCAUCUGUAGAAAACGUUAAGCAACAAAGCCAAUCUCAUCUAGUCUUGGUUAAUUUUGGUUGAUGGUGAUGGAUUCUGGCGAGUGGAUUAAUGGGUUUCGACAUAUUCCUAAUAAAUUGGGUAUCAGCAAGCAACAAUAUACAUUGAUCACCCGUUCAGGGUGUUCAAAAUUGUUUCAUUGUGAAGAAACAUGGGGAAAGAAAAGAGCUACGCUCAACCACGUGCAUGUGUCACGUAUUACCCAGCUAGAGAUUUUUUUUUAGUUUUUUCCAAUCUUUUCCACAAGCAACCGCUUUUCCUUUUUGUGCUGGGUAAAUUGUAAUAAUAUUCUUUCCCGAUUGUUUAGCAAAGACUUUGUCUCAGCUUUAGUAGCUAGGAAACCGUUUAGGAUCCAGUAAAGAAAUUAUCUAUAUAAAGUGGUCUUCACCGUUUAUUCUCAAAAGAAUUCUCAAAACAGUUUGUGUUUAAAACUUUGCUAAGUGAGAUUAAUCAAGAGCAACAAGUGGAAGAUGGCUGUAGAUAAGAAGCAAGACUGUUCGUCGUGUCCACCAGCUCCAAAAAAAGAACCAACCUUCUUCGAGGUACAAUGACUCGUUUGGAGGACAAAAUUUAAAUACGAAUUUCAACCAAGAAGACCGUAGGUGUCCAUCAGCUUAAAAAAGAACCAACCUUCUUCAAGGUACAAUGUCGACUCAUUAGGAGGACAAAAUUUGAAUACGAAAUUCAACCAAUAAGAACGGAUCAAAGGAGUUGAUAGUUAGAGGAUAUGGUAUUAUAACAAUUUGAUUUGUUUUGCUUUGAGCUUUUGAUAUCUUUAUGUUUACAUGUUUCUCUAGCUAUGUAUAUGUAUGACCAGUUUGUGUUUAGUGAUGGAAGAGAUAAUUCUACUACAAAUAUUCUAUUAGGGCAACUUCAACCAUAGUCUUGGAUUUGGAGUCCUAUAUCAAUUAUAGGACCUCUUUGUUGCACUAUUCAUUUAGGACUCAUUUUCUCAUCUCCAACAAUGAGUCCUAUAUGAGGUCUUAUAUUCACUUUUGUUGAUUAAAACAAGUUAUAGGUGGUAUAUUUAUGAAUAUUAUAUUAAAUAAUAUGUUAAUAACCUUAUUAAGUUAAUAAAACUUCACAAUUUUUAUUUUUAUCACAAAAUUUUAAAUUAUUUUUAUAAUUAAAUAUAAUAAUUUUAAUUAAAAAACUAAAUAC
rnacentral:lncRNA from 1 species